rnacentral:rRNA from 1 species
UACGUAGGGCGCAAGCGUUAUCCGGAAUUAUUGGGCGUAAAGAGCUCGUAGGCGGUUUGUCGCGUCUGCCGUGAAAGUCCGGGGCUCAACUCCGGAUCUGCGGUGGGUACGGGCAGACUAGAGUGAUGUAGGGGCGACUGGAAUUCCUGGUGUAGCGGUGAAAUGCGCAGAUAUCAGGAGGAACACCGAUGGCGAAGGCAGGUCUCUGGGCAUUAACUGACGCUGAGGAGCGAAAGCAUGGGGAGCGAACAGG